AGGACGAACGCUGGCGGCGUGCCUAAUACAUGCAAGUCGAACGAAUCUCUUUUAGAGAUGAGUGGCGAACGGGUGAGUAAUACAUAGGUAACCUGCCCCUGUGCGGGGGAUAACAGGAGGAAACUCCUGCUAAUACCGCAUAGCCAUGAGCACCGCAUGGAGCUCAUGCCAAAUAUCCUUUCGGGGAUAGCGCAGGGAUGGACCUAUGGCGCAUUAGCUGGUUGGCGGGGCAACGGCCCACCAAGGCAACGAUGCGUAGCCGGCCUGAGAGGGCGGACGGCCACAUUGGGACUGAGACACGGCCCAGACUCCUACGGGAGGCAGCAGUAGGGAAUUUUCGGCAAUGGGGGAAACCCUGACCGAGCAACGCCGCGUGAGCGAAGAAGGCCUUCGGGUCGUAAAGCUCUGUUGUAAGGGAAGAACGGCGCAUACAGGAAAUGGUAUGCGAGUGACGGUACUUUACCAGAAAGCCACGGCUAACUACGUGCCAGCAGCCGCGGUAAUACGUAGGUGGCGAGCGUUAUCCGGAAUCAUUGGGCGUAAAGAGGGAGCAGGCGGCCGCAAGGGUCUGUGGUGAAAGACCGAAGCUAAACUUCGGUAAGCCAUGGAAACCGGGCGGCUAGAGUGCGGAAGAGGAUCGUGGAAUUCCAUGUGUAGCGGUGAAAUGCGUAGAUAUAUGGAGGAACACCAGUGGCGAAGGCGACGGUCUGGGCCGCAACUGACGCUCAUUCCCGAAAGCGUGGGGAGCAAAUAGGAUUAGAUACCCUAGUAGUCCACGCCGUAAACGAUGGUCACUAAGUGUCGGGGGUCAAACCCCGGUGCUGCAGUCAACGCAAUAAGUGACCCGCCUGAGUAGUACGUUCGCAAGAAUGAAACUCAAAGGAAUUGACG
rnacentral:rRNA from 1 species